rnacentral:rRNA from 1 species
CCUACGGGAGACAGCAGUGGGGAAUAGUGCACAAUGGGGGAAACCCUGAUGCAGCGACGCCGCGUGAGUGAAGAAGGAAUUCGUUAUGUAAAGCUCUAGCAGCAGGGAAGAAAAUGACGGUACCUGAGUAAGAAGCCCCGGCUAACGACGUGCCAGCAGCCGCGGUAAUACGUAGGGGGCAAGCGUUAUCCGGAUUUACUGGGUGUAAAGGGAGCGUAGACGGCAGUGCAAGUCUGGAGUGAAAGGCGGGGGCUCAACCCCCGGACUGCUCUGGAAACUGUACGGCUGGAGGGCAGGAGAGGUAAGUGGACUUCCUAGUGUAGCGGUGACAUUCGUAGAUAUUAGGAG